rnacentral:misc_RNA from 1 species
GAUGAAGAACGUAGCGAAAUGCGAUAAGUAAUGUGAAUUGCAGAAUUCAGUGAAUCAUCGAAUCUUUGAACGCACAUUGCGACCCCUGGUAUUCCGGGGGGCAUGCCUGUCCGAGCGUCAUUACAACCCUCAAGCUCAGCUUGGUGUUGGGCCCCGCCGCCCCGGCGGGCCCUAAAGUCAGUGGCGGUGCCGUCCGGCUCCGAGCGUAGUAAUUCUUCUCGCUCUGGAGGUCCGGUCGUGUGCUCGCCAGCAACCCCCAAUUUUUUUCAGGUUGACCUCGGAUCAGGUAGGGAUACCCGCUGAACUUAAGCAUAUCAAUAAGCGGAGGA